rnacentral:rRNA from 1 species
GUUAUAGGGUCAAGCGAACAAGUGCAUGUGGUGGAUGCCUUGGCGAUCACAGGCGAUGAAGGACGCGGUAGCCUGCGAAAAGCUACGGGGAGCUGGCAAACAAGCUUUGAUCCGUAGAUGUCCGAAUGGGGAAACCCACUCCUUUUGGAGUAUCCAUGGCUGAAUACAUAGGCCAUGCGAAGCGAACGCGGUGAACUGAAACAUCUAAGUAACCGCAGGAAAAGAAAUC